ACGGGAGGCAGCAGCUAAGAAUAUUCCGCAAUGGACGAAAGUCUGACGGAGCGACGCCGCGUGGAUGAUGAAGGCCGGAAGGUUGUAAAAUCCUUUUGAAUGAGACGAAUAAGCAGGUCAGGGAAUGGGCUUGUGGUGACGGUAUCAUUUGAAUAAGCAACGGCUAAUUACGUGCCAGCAGCCGCGGUAACACGUAAGUUGCGAGCGUUGUUCGGAAUUAUUGGGCGUAAAGGGCAUGUAGGCGGUUUUGCAAGCUUGGUGUGAAAUCCCGGAGCUUAACUCCGGAAUUGCGUUGAGAACUGCAUAACUAGAGUCACUGAGGGGCAAUCAGAAUUCCAGGUGUAGGGGUGAAAUCUGUAGAUAUCUGGAAGAAUACCAAUGGCGAAGGCAGGUUACCAGCAGAUGACUGACGCUGAGGUGCGAAGGUGCGGGGAGCAAACAGGAUUAGAUACCCUGGUA
rnacentral:rRNA from 1 species